GAAAACAAGUGGGCGGGACUGUCAUGUCUUUGGACAUUAAAAAAAAAUGGAGCUGCAUAUUAUUAAGUACGUUGGACUUUCACAUUGUUGUGUUGUUACCGUGCUUGAUGCACAUCUGGAACAAAAGUGUGCACUGGCAUAUGCUAGGGUUUUUUUGUUAGCUGUGUUGGCAACUCUGCACGUGUAUUAUUACUGUAAGGUCUUUCAGACUUGGCCUGGACAUGUGAAGCCACACCCAGAAUGGGAUGUUUUGUGGGCAACAGGAGGAAGAAUUCCUCCUAAAUUGUGGCUCAGAUGCACAAUUAUAUGUGUUGCUAUAUAGAUGCUCUAAGUUUAAGCAAUCACUCCCCAAAGAGCUCAUUGUGAUCAGUUUGUGACUUGACAGACGGAGCCAGAUAGCUUUUAAACAUCAGCGUUCACUUGAGGCAAACCUUAGACUUCGUUUUCAGACCCUUACAGCGAAUUUACACAAGAGUAACACAGGGCUCAGGAGAAGCGUCAAUGACUACGACACAUAUUUCAUCAAUGCUUUUUAUGGGUUCUCACUGAGCGCUAAUUUCAUCAAGUCCAAUUUCGGUCACGGUUAUGAGCUCUGGACGCCGCAGGGCUGAGCAUUAUGGCUUUCACAGAGAACUGCAGCUGAGAACAAAGGGGGGGCCAUAGAAAUAGGAUCUUACACACCUCAUGAUUAUAAUGUAAUGUGAUUGGUGUGUACAACACUUUCACGUCUCUUAAAACUCUCUAAUGAAACACCAUUGGUGAAUCUGUGAGGCUGAGCAGGUGAGAAGACUUAAUCAAGCCAGUGAGAGCUAGAGCACAGAUCACAUUUCAUUUCUGCUUUCAUCUUAUUUCUCCCAACUUUCUGUUGUUUCGGUGUAUUGUAACAAAAGAGGGGUAGUACUGCAUUUUAAAAUAUUCCACAGAUGCUCACACUGACCACUAUUUUCAAACAAACCUUUCUCGUACAAUAUGUUGUUAUGUUUUGUGGCUUGAAAGAUUGUCCUAGUUCUUCAGGUGUAUAAAAAAAGAUAGUUAUAUACAGAUAUGAAGGUACUAUAUACCUAUGCCUCUGUCUUGAGGAUUAGAAGGUACACUUUGAGGAUGAAGGUGGAACAACCAACUAUCAUCUCCAUACAGUGCUGUUCUGACAGGUUUACCCUGUAAGUUUCACACCCCCAGAUCUCACCGUUAUGUGACUUUCUCAUAGCUAGCCUAGUCUUUUUAAUUGAAUUCUCUAAUCUGAUUGGUCAGAAGGGGUGCAUUAUUUUUGUAUAACAGCACGGCUCAGAGAGCAGUUCUUUCUGUAACAUACUAACAGUAGUUUGAUAUCAAUACGCUCAUUCUAACACGUUAUUGUUCCCAUAGUAACAGCCCAUAAACAGGGACUUGUAUGGUGGACGCUCCACAUAAUUAAGACUAAUACAUUAAUAGACAAAAGACUGUUAAAUGUGUUGUUUAACAAAGAAAAAUGUGUAUUCGUUGACGAAGUUUUUUUGUUAGAAGACCUUUAUUUAACGUUUAUGGACGGAGUCUCUCCCUGUGAUGGACUGGCACCCUGUCCAGGGUGUACCCCGCCUUGUGCCCGAUGCUCCCUGGGAUAGGUUCCAGGUUCCCCGUGACCCUGAAAAGGAUUAAGCGGUAGAAGAUGGAUGGAUGGUUGGAUGGACGGAGUCUCUAGUGUCAGGGUUUUGAAACAGUCACAGUGCUUUGCAAAGUUUCUCAGCACAAGAAAGUCUUCAGGACAAAUGAAUUGACACUUUCUAGUUUCUGUGGUUUUUGAGAGCGAGAAAGAGAGAGAAAACGUGGUGUUUGUGAGAGAACUGUUUAUCGUUGUACAUGAUAACAGGAACUAACCUUUCUUGUGCAUGUUCCACAAAAUUAAAUCAAACUAUAAACCGAUAAAAUGCAUGUGUGUUGUUCCUUAAUAAAUUAAACAUUGUAACUGUUGGCAAAUUGCUGUAGUAUAAGUGGAAUAAAACAAUCCACUUCAGGCCAUAUUUUCAUUUAACCACAUGGUCCGUUGUGUGUUAUUACUUACUCAUAAUAAUAUGAGACCAUUUUAGAACCUCAGUGAAAGAAUCGAGCAUGUAUAGAAAAUGUGAUUUCUUUAUAUAUUACAAUAGUAAUGAUAGUUACUGAUGGUGUAAUGUUGGAAAAGUAGUGUAUAAGAUAUUUAACGUUCAUUUAAUACCCCUGUAUUUUCAUGGGUUUAGUUCCCUUUUUUUUUUUUUUUAGCGGUGACAUCCGGUGUCUUCACUGUUGCUGUGUACAGCUCUCUCUUCAGAACUGUCUAUACAAGUGAUUUCACUCAGGGAAUUCGUUUACCCGAAAAUUUUUUAAUUGUGCUGAACAGUUUUGCAAAUCAUGUCUCGGACUCGGGGCACAAGGUGGGCAGUAUCAACCCAUCGUAGGGCAUAAAUGCACACCCAUUCACACACGAUGGACAAUUUGGAGAUGCCAGUCAGUGUACAGUCCAUGUCUUUGAACCCCAAACCCCAGAGGUGUGAGGCAAAUGUGCUUACCACUAAGCCACCAUGCCCCCUAUUUAUAUAUAUAUACACACACACACACACACAUACACACACACACAGUACUGUGCAAAAGUCUUGCAAAUAAAUGCUAUAGAGCAGAGAUGCCUUCAGAAAUAAUGAAAUUAAAUGUUUCUAUAUUAAAAAAAUACUAUAAAGAGCAGUAAACAGUAAUAAAUGAAACAAAGUCAGUAUUUGGUUUGAUGACGCUUUUCUUAAAAAAUAAAUUAGUAGUCACAGGUAUAAUGUGUGCACUUUUAUAAGGAAAUGAGCUGUGAGUUUUAUUGAGCAUCUUGUAGAACCAGACACGGUUCUUCUGGAGACUUUGACUGUUGUACUUGCUUCUUAUUUUUGCAGCAAAACCCAGCAGCCUUCAUUAUGUUUUUGUCUGAAAAGUGUCUCUUACAUAAUCUGCUGCUCUCUUUACUGACGUACAAACAUUUUUCUGUAACAUUUCAUUUUGUGCUGGAAAACUAAUGUUUGGAAAUCUAAAAUGUUUUUGUACCGACUUCAUAAUGUAGAAGUCAUAAAAUAAAAAUCAAUAAAGGUAGUACAAAAAAAAGUGUAUCUAAGAGUUUUGCACAGUACUAUAUAUAUAUAUAUGUAUAUAUCAGUAUCUGGUGGCCACCAGCUGCUGUAAGUACAACAGUGCAUCUCAUCCUCAUGGACUGGACAGUUCUAUUUGUCAGUUCUUGCUGUGAGAUGUUACUCCACUCUUCCACUGCUUUAAAGAAAAACCCAUGCGGACGUAACAUAUAUACACACCAGCAGUGGGUGUCGUGGGUGGCUUGUUUCCUUGCAUUGUUUUGCAUGAGGCUAGAGUGGACUCUACAUGUUGAACAAAGACACACAAAGUUUGAAACUGUAGCACAGAUACUCACCUGUAUUCUUUUGGAAAACACAGAGAUUUCCCUUACAGCUGUGGGGGGAAAAAAUUACAGCACACACAGCAGGUGCAUCACUGCUUUCAUCAGUUUCAUCCGGUACUUUCACUAUGAGUGAGUAGAGAGAGAUUAUAAUUAACAGUUUUUUUCUACCACUGAAAUUGCAGAUAGGAAUUAAUUAGAAUCCAUGCCAGCACAUAGAAAUUUGCCCUGUUGCUUUUUGCUGAGACUUUGGUUACCAGAUCUUAUGAAGAUCGUUCACGUGGACCUCUGAGUGGGAAUUUCCAUGUUGGAAUUUUGAGUGCUUUCAGACAGCACAGAGCAAAUCUCAGCAAUGGUGCAUUGACAACAUAAACAUGCCUGCAUCAAAAGAAAAGAUAAAGUCAUAGAAAGAAAAUAUACAUAGGUCAUACAAUAAUAUUUGUUUAUAUAAAUGUUUAUGAUCAAUUAUAUCUGAUAAAUUCCACCACCUACUUCAGCCCUCUUAAAGAUUAGGAAGCUAUAUGCGAAUUCUAGAUAAUGUGAGAUAAAAACUACUAGAACCUCAGUUUUUAUCUAAAACUGUAAUUGAAACGGCAGUGUGUGAGGAUGGGGAGUUCUCUUUCAAAGGAAACGCAACGUUGCAUGAGCUUCACGCUAUGGAAGUGCCCUUGUGUGUGACCAACAUCUGAAGUUUGUGUGACAUCAUGCCUGCCGUGAUUUAUUAAGUGGCAAUUAAGCGUGUCAUGUGAUAUAAAACGGCACCUGUGAACUAUGCCGCCAGACUUAUUAUCUUCAGCGAGACUGUAUGUCGGUCUUUGUGUGAACGCUCGCAAAAGACUCUGCAUUUCCGCUCUGUUUUUUCAAAAAAAGUAAAAUCUCUUUACUUUUCUGUACCUCUAAAAAAAAAGAAAAAAAAGGAGAAAAGUAUGAGUGAGAAAGAUUUCACGAAAUGUGUCACGCCUUGCUCCCGUUUCAUCACGGGGGGAUGGCAGGUGGAAAUCAUUCCACCCCAGGCUCGAGUGUCUUGCAGUGACCCUAGGGCUUGUUUCUUUUGAACAGGCCCUAUCCUCAGUAUGUCAGAGUGGGUAUUCUCAUUCCCACGCAAUGUUGAGUUCCCGUUGAAAGGGAACGUCUGGGUUACGCAUGUAACCCUGUUCCCUGAGAAGGGAACAAGACAUUGCUUAGCUUUAUCAUUCUAGGGUAUGCCUGUGAAUUGUAUCUUCGCUUCAGAUAAUAGAGGCCGACAACGUGGUUCACAGGUGCUGUAUUAUAUCACGCGACGCGCUUAAUUGCCACGUCACCUGAUCACGACAGGCCUAUAAAUAGGCUUGAUUUCACACAAGCUUCAGAUGCCGGUCAUGCGCCAGGGCGCUUUCCACAACGUGAAGCUCACACAAUGUCUUGUUCCCUUCUCAGAGAACAGGGUUACAUGCAUAACUCAGACGUUUUCCCAUCCUCCUGAAUUUCCCCAUAUGACGUUAAUGUGGCUUGCUGACAUUACGUCUCAGCUGAUCGUCAUUUAUUCCCUCAUCUUUAAAAGAUUACCUGGAAAUCAGUUUCAUUUCCAAAUUCUAAAAGAUUUUUGUGACAUGCUUUAAGGCUUUUCUUCUUUUGUUGAUCACAGUGGCAAUUCAGCAGAAAAGGUUCAUUUUUAAUGCUUGUCAAACCAGAUGGCCAGUAUUUAGUAGUAUUCUGUGUGUAAUUGUGCAGUGAUACUUCUUGAAUUGUAGACUAGCAGCACCGUGUAGAAUCAAAAAAGUAGCAGAAAAUUAAAUAAUACGGGACAGAAAAUUUUCUGUUCUUCCACAGACGCUUUAAAUAAUCUCUUCUAAUAAUCUUCAUUCGGUAGAAAUCCUGAAGGACUCAUAGGGGUACUGAGUUUAAGCAAAUCGCUUUCUCGUAAUAAUCUGUUUCCACUAUUUAAUACCUCAGUUUGUCUCUCACUUUCCAUUCCACAUGAAGUUAUCAGUUACUUUGAGAUAAUUUGAGCUCUUGGGUGUCUGCCAACAUUUUAUAGCACCCUCAAAAAUAUAUUGUGGCCUUGGUGCUAACAGUCGCUUGUUCUUGGCUUUUUACAAUAAAAACCUAGAGGGCUCAUACAUCUUUAAUGUGCUUUUUUGGAAACUUUUCCCAUUCUUUUUUCCUGGCUCAUUAUACACCUGAAUAUGAGCCCAUUAAUUAGUUGCACAAGCAGACACACUAUUUUGAUAUAGUGCAUUCAAACACAACGGAGCUUAGGCCUUUUUUAGUUUAUGAGACUAUUUAUUCUUGUGAAAUUGCUGUCCUAAGUAUUUUUUAGCACACUCACCGAAGUUGAUAACUAGGCUUAAACAUUCUCUCACAAAGCAUUAGUUGUUAACUACAAGACAAAGUGCAAAUGUUGAAGAAAUCUUGAAAUCCACACAAUUGGAUGUUGCCAUCUUAGCCAUUUAGCAGUACAGUAACUUGAAGAAACAUGUAAUGGAGACACUGGGUACCUCUCAGUCAGUUCAGUCAGGGCACUGAUCACGGAGUCAGCCAUUUUAUGGGCUGUCUCAAUCGCAAAAUCCUUCCAGUGCUCUGGAAUGUUCGCGCUGCGAAAAAUCCCACAA